UCCUAACAAUAGGUAAGUCGCUCUGGAUAAGAGCGUCUGCUAAAUGACUUAAA
rfam:Salmo salar isolate Sally breed double haploid chromosome ssa10, whole genome shotgun sequence.